rnacentral:lncRNA from 1 species
GGAGCUUGACAUGGGGCUCAAUCCCACAACCCUGAGAUCAUAACCUGAGCUGAAAUUAAGAGCGGGAUGCUGAACUGACUGAGCCAUUCAGGUGCCCCAGCAUCUUCUGAUUUACAUCCUAUUUUCCUAUAGAGUGUUGUGAGUGUUGUCUCACUGAUACUCCUUUGUGUUAUUUCUAAUAAAACUCCUGUUUUUAAGAUGAUAACACUAAUCUCUGUGGAAGUUGAAUAACGUGGCUAAAUUCAGAGGGCUGAGACUUGAACCACAGGUCAAACUGGGUAGUUUCCUGCAGGUAGAGCCCAGACAUGCUUAGGGUUGGGCUGAGCUGUUUACUCUCUGUCCUCUCAAUUUCUGAAUGUGGGCAGGCCAUGGCUCAGAGGAAACACCAGCCUCCCUAGGUGUCAUUGACUUCUGAAAAUAGCAAGAGCAGAGGGCUAGGCCUUCUGGGAGAUCCUUCCAAUAUUCUUAGAAGCAAGCACAACCAUUUCCUAAUUAAUUAUCUCCAUUAGCUAAGCUCAAUUACUUUGUGUCCACCUCCAAGAGUACAACCUUGCUCCUUAGAGACUUCCUAUUUGAAUUUCCAAGGGGGCAAAUAUUGCCAGAAGCAUGUUUUAUGUAAUUACAUAGUGUAGAUAUUUCACUCUCUUUACUUAAUGAUUAUUAAAUACUGAAAUUAACUUCUGUACGUGGAUGUGGAUUCCAUCAGUGUAAGAGAAAGCACAUGUAUAGUGGGGUAUGUCUCUCUGCAGAAUUUGGGAGACUUGAGAGGUGCUCAUGGGUGCUCAGUCCUCAUGAUACUACUGUCCAUAGUUUCUCAGUGGAGACUGGUCCUUGCUAUUCUGCAUAAGAAUAACCUCAAGAGCUUGAUAAAUGCACAUUGCAAAACCCGCACAUCUAGAGCAUCUAGACUUACUGAAUCAGCAUAUCUGAGCAGAGCCGGGAAUCUGCAUUUUCAAUUGUCUCCGUGGGGGAUUCUGAUAACACGAGUGUCUAAGAACCAGUGAUAGUCAUUUGCAUGAUACAUAAAGACAGCCUUAUCAAGGGAACAGGAGAGGCAAAAUGAACAGAAGCCAGUCUCUUCCCAUACAUAUUUUAAUAAAAAGAAUUCAAUACAUGUUAUCUAUUAUUAUUUUAUGAUUGUUUUAAAUCCUCAGACAGGGCUUGAGAGCCGUAGCUGAUCUGUGAGGCACAGGCAGCACCAUAAGGUGAGUGGGAAACAAACAAGGAGAGAUAGGGAGAGUAAAGGGUGUUGCUGUCGAUAAACUACCAGAGCUCCAGCCUGCAGAGGCACUUCCAGAAACAAGCAUGUGACUCCAGUCCAUGUUUGGCUGGCCUCCUGGGAGCUGGGAAUUCCUGGACACUGCGUGUGGGGUGUGUGGACAGUGGCAGGCACUGGAGCGGGAAGUUGGACUGGCAUAAAGAGAGACCACACUGGGGCCACCAAGAUCAUGCCUCUCCUACCAAUUCUCUAGCAAGAAAGUGUCAGGUGCAUCCCAAUGCUUGUUCGCAGAGUGAAUGAAAGGUAAACGUGAGCAUUGUGAGAAGGAAGUUCCCUCUCAUUGAUUUUUUAUGUGUUUGGUUGAUUGUUGUAAGUUACACAUCAUGUAAAAUUCACCAUUAAUGACAUUUACCACAUUCCCAGUGCUAUGCAGGCAUCACCACCAUCUAGUUCCAGAACAUUUCCAUUACCCCAAGAGGAAACCCUAUUCCUAUCAGCAGCCAUUCUACCCAUUCCUUCUCCUUCUCCUCUGGAGACUGCUAAUCUUUCUGCCUCCCUGCAUUUGUCUGUUCUGGACAUUUCAUAUAAAUGGGAUCCUGCAAUACGGGGUCUUUCAUUCAGUUUUACAUUGUCAAGGCCCAUCCAUGCUGCAGUGUGUGUCAGAGCCUUGGUCCUUUUUCUGGUUGAAGAAUAUUCCCUUCUAAGGAUAAUACUCCCUCUCAUUUUUUGGAACCAGGGCAACUUCCCAGGAUCUGGAUUUGCAGAUUGACAAAAGUGUUGGGUGCACCCUGUUUGCCACGCUAGAUCAACCUGCCAUCUGUCUCCAUCCCUGUGGUGCCAGCCUCUGGGGGUUGCUUUCUUUCCUCACUUUUCGCCAGCUUCCUUUGAGGUUUUGCUAAUGGAAGUUACUGGCGGGAUAUCAGACAGAAGCGGGUGCAGUUAAGGAGUCCUCUCCUCCAGCUCGCUCCCUGGCUGUGUCCCCUUCAGGAAGACGCCCCUGUCACUAAGCUUGUCUCUCCAGGCUCUGUUGGGCCCUCUCUCUCUCUUGCACUUCCAGGCCCAGAAGAGAUACUGGCUUCUGGCUGCUGGCAGCUCUCAACUGGUCCUUCAUUAGUUUUCUCCAAAUCUUUCCAUAUCUUUGUAAAUAAUCUAUUAAAUUAUUUUUCAAGUUAUUCCCUUGAGGUGUGUGUGUGUGUGUGUGUGUGUGUGUGUGUGUCCCUCCCCUUCCUGCUGGGACCCUGAUUAAUACAAUAGUGAUCCAUGAUAGAGUAACUCAUCAAUAUUUUACUCCAUUGCUGAAGCACAUUUCAUAGUACAUAUUUGUAACAUAGGGCCUGAGAAAUGCUCUGUGCCCCUGUGUGCUAUCCCCAUUUCCCAGAUCAGGUGGGAACCAGACGGCAACUGCAACUGCUAGCAGGUAGUGCAACGGGGCAAUUUUGUAUGUGGAUUCUGGAAUCACAUUUCUUGAAUUCAGGCCUCAGCUCUGCACCUCCCGGCACUGUAACCUGGGGCAAAAUACCUAAUCUUUUCAAGCCUUAAGCAUAAAUUACUAUGCAUAGACUAUCUAUGACUCACAGAUAAUAUGCAGAAAAUUCUCAGAACAGAGCCACACUUUAUAAGUGUGCAGUAAAUGUCAGCUAUCAUGUUAGUCCUCAUUAAUCCCGGCCUCACCUUCCCCUCUUCCAAUCUAUAUCAGCUUCUUGGGGCACUAUCUUUGAGUCCCAGAUCUUUCCCAGAUUCUGAGCCAGUGAUGACUGGUGCUGAAAGAAGACUAACACCAGUUGUCUCCUCCUUGAGGGACAAGGGAAUGUGGGGAGUAGCAAGUUCCUCUAGACCCUGGGUCCAUCCUUCCAAAGACCAAAGGGGGACUCUUUAACCCUGUGCUAUUGUGGUGGCCUUCCUUCUCCUCUUCUUCAUCACCAGCAAGAAGACCACUAUGUAUUAAACGUUUACUCUGGGAUGACAGUCUUAGAAGCAUACUUCAUUUAAUGGGCCUAUGAACUCUAAAAGAUAUGAUUCCCUUUUAAAAACUUGUUGCAAAUCUAUUCCAAAUCCAUUUUUAAAAUCUUUGAAACAUAGCAUUAUUAUAACCAGUUAUGCAGGUAACACAUGAAUACAUCCUCCUUGUAAAAGAUCCACAACUUAAAUAGUAUGAAGUUGCCAUUAGGAUCCUCAUUUUCCUGAUGAUAAACCUAUAACUGAGACAGAUUAAAGACAGAUUAAUGUUCUCAAGUUCAUGCUGGGAAGCAGCAGAGGCACAAUCCAAAACCAGGAACGUCUGAUAUAAGAGACUCAGUCCAUAUGUACUACAUUGUGCCGACCGUCUCCCCAGGACUAUUUUAUGCCUCAGAUUCUCCCCUUUGGCAACCUACCAGACCUUAAACUUUCAGGCUUACAAGUCCAUUCUACCAAGAUGUGGAUCCUCAUAAAUGACCUUCAAAGUCCAUAGUCUAAACCAGUAGACUGUGCUGAACACUUCUUACACCCAUUCACACACAUCCCACCCAUCACUAUGACAAUCCACACACUUCCCACCCAUCGCUGUGAUAAUCAUCCACACACCUCCCACCCAACACUGUGACAACCAGCUUCCCACAGGUGUGAGCAGAUAGCACCUGGGCUUGGCUGCACCUCCCAUUCCUGCAUUCUGCCCUAAGGUUUUCUCAGACACCUUGUACUAGAAUGCCUGAGGGAACCCACAGGGUCAUUCAUGCUAGCACAGCCUGGGAAUCAGAGGGAGUCGACAUCCCAUGGAGAAGCCUUGACCAUUGGGGGAAUGGAAUUGUUCCCUAGAGACAGGCAUUUUUGAGAUACUUUCUGUGGCUCUUCUCAAAGGGUCCUAGAAGGAGUGUGUCUCAGUUGUCCACUCUCUGUCUGCAUCUGCUCCCUUGGAGGGGCUGUCCCUUCUUCCCUGUUACACCCCAUUCUCCCGUCCUAUUUCCUGGAAUCACAAAGUCCCUCAUAUUAGGCUUUGCUUUCUGGGGUGAGUUCAGGCUAAGUCAGGCAGGGAUGAUGAAGAAAUUGUUUUGUUUAGUAAACAUUAGUUGUUAAUAAUAGGCUCUCCUUGCCUAAGAGAUGGAUUCCUCAGAGUGGCCAGGAUCUUUAAGAAGAGGACUACAUACAUUGCUAUUUCCUUGAGGUUGCACUCCCAAGGGCAAACCAGGCUGCCUAUUGCACAGGAGUGAGCAUGUACCCUUGACCUCACCAAGAAAUUCAAAUAUUUCUCAGUAAAACAAAAUUCAUCCUCCUGAUAAGUCACUCAUGCUUGCAGUAUGCAUCAUUGUCAUUAUGAGAAGGACAUGUUUCAUUCAAGAAAAGUUUUGAGUACCUAAAACCAGCCAAGAUUAUGGAAGUCUUGAAGAAUAAGAGGGUAAAUUUAACAAAGUCCUUGCCCUUAGGGAGUGAACAUUUUAAAUUGAAAGCAGAUAAGUAAACAGGAAAUUCUCACAUCUUACAAAAAGUACUAUAGCUGAUACAAUCGUAUAAGUGAAAAAUUG